UACGUAGGGUGCAAGCGUUAAUCGGAAUUACUGGGCGUAAAGCGUGCGCAGGCGGUUUUGUAAGUCUGUCGUGAAAGCCCCGGGCUCAACCAGGGAAUUGCGUUGGAGACUGCAAGGCUUGAAUCUGGCAGAGGGGGGUAGAAUUCCACGUGUAGCAGUGAAAUGCGUAGAGAUGUGGAGGAACACCGAUGGCGAAGGCAGCCCCCUGGGUCAAGAUUGACGCUCAUGCACGAAAGCGUGGGGAGCAAACAGG
rnacentral:rRNA from 1 species